UUAGACCUACGGGACGCAGCAGUGAGGAAUAUUGGUCAAUGGGCGGGAGCCUGAACCAGCCAAGUCGCGUGAGGGAAGACGGUCCUAUGGAUUGUAAACCUCUUUAGGCGGGGAGCAAUGCCGGGCACGCGUGUCCGGAAGGAGAGUACCCGCAGAAUAAGCAUCGGCUAACUCCGUGCCUGCAGCCGCGGUAAUACGGAGGAUGCGAGCGUUAUCCGGAUUUAUUGGGUUUAAAGGGUGCGUAGGCGGAUUUUUAAGUCAGCGGCAAAAUGUCCGGGUUCAACCCGGGCCGGCCGUUGAAACUG
rnacentral:rRNA from 1 species